rnacentral:misc_RNA from 1 species
GAUGAAGAACGUAGCGAAAUGCGAUAAGUAAUGUGAAUUGCAGAAUUCAGUGAAUCAUCGAAUCUUUGAACGCACAUUGCGCCCGCCAGUAUUCUGGCGGGCAUGCCUGUCUGAGCGUCAUUAUAACCCCUCAAGCUCAGCUUGGUGUUGGGGCCUGCUGCACUGGCAGCCCUUAAAAUCAGUGGCGGCGCCAUCUGGCUCUAAGCGUAGUAAUUCUUCUCGCUAUGGAGUCCUGGUGGAUGCUUGCCAUCAACCCCCAAUUUUUCUAUGGUUGACCUCGGAUCAGGUAGGGAUACCCGCUGAACUUAAGCAUAUCAAUAAGCGGAGGA